AUUGGGGUAAGCAUGUGGGUUGCUAAAUUGGUCAGGCCCGGAAGGAAGCAGCCGGAGUGAUUCGCUGCUGUACCCCUUUAAA
rnacentral:SRP_RNA from 1 species